rnacentral:rRNA from 1 species
UGGGGAAUUUUGGACAAUGGGCGCAAGCCUGAUCCAGCCAUGCCGCGUGGAGGAUGAAGGGUCUAUGACUUGUAAACUCCUGUAAAGAAGGAAAAAAUUCCCAUUAGAUGGGAGAUGAUGGUACUUCUGGAGUAAGCCCCGGCUAACUACGUGCCAGCAGCCGCGGUAAUACGUAGGGGGCAAGCGUUGUCCGGAUUUACUGGGUGUAAAGGGUGCUCAGGCGGAUUUGUAAGUCAGAGGUGAAAUCUUACAGCUUAACUGUGAAACUGCCUUUGAUACUGCAAGCCUAGAGUAUGGAAGAGAGUGAUGGAAUAUCUGGUGUAGCAGUGAAAUGCGUAGAUAUCAGAUAGAACACCAAUGGCGAAGGCAGUCACUUAGUCCAUUACUGACGCUAAAGCACGAAAGCGUGGGUAGCAAACA